rnacentral:rRNA from 1 species
UACGGAGGGGCUAGCGUUGUUCGGAAUUACUGGGCGUAAAGCGCACGUAGGCGGCUUUGUAAGUUAGAGGUGAAAGCCCAGGGCUCAACCCUGGAAUUGCCUUUAAGACUGCAUCGCUUGAACAUCGGAGAGGUAAGUGGAAUUCCGAGUGUAGAGGUGAAAGUUCGUAGAUAUUCGGAAGAACACCAGUGGCGAAGGCGACUUACUGGACGAUUGUUGACGCUGAGGUGCGAAAGCCGUGGGGAGCAAACAG